GAAUUCGAUUAACGCGAAGAACCUUACCUGGGCUCGAGCGGCUGUGGCAAGUCCUUAGAAAUAGGGAUCCUCCCGCAAGGGAUCGCAGUCGAGGUGCUGCAUGGCUGUCGUCAGCUCGUGUCGUGAGAUGUUGGGUUAAGUCCCGCAACGAGCGCAACCCUUGUCCUGUGUUGCCAUCAUUCAGUUGGGAACUCGCAGGAGACCGCCAGCGAUAAGUUGGAGGAAGGUGGGGAUGACGUCAAGUCCUCAUGGCCUUUAUGUCCAGGGCUACACACGUGCUACAAUGGCCGGUACAAAGCGCAGCAAACCCGCGAGGGAGAGCAAAUCGCAAAAAACCGUUCUCAGUUCGGAUUGCAGGCUGCAACUCGCCUGCAUGAAGCUGGAAUCGCUAGUAAUGGCAUAUCAGAACGAUGCCGUGAAUACGUUCCCGGGCCUUGUCACACCGAAUCACUA
rnacentral:rRNA from 1 species